CUACUUUGCUGACGAGCGGCGGACGGGUGAGUAAUGCUUGGGAACAUGCCUUGAGGUGGGGGACAACAGUUGGAAACGACUGCUAAUACCGCAUAAUGUCUACGGACCAAAGGGGGCUUCGGCUCUCGCCUUUAGAUUGGCCCAAGUGGGAUUAGCUAGUUGGUGAGGUAAUGGCUCACCAAGGCGACGAUCCCUAGCUGGUUUGAGAGGAUGAUCAGCCACACUGGGACUGAGACACGGCCCAGACUCCUACGGGAGGCAGCAGUGGGGAAUAUUGCACAAUGGGCGCAAGCCUGAUGCAGCCAUGCCGCGUGUGUGAAGAAGGCCUUCGGGUUGUAAAGCACUUUCAGUCAGGAGGAAAGGUUAGUAGUUAAUACCUGCUAGCUGUGACGUUACUGACAGAAGAAGCACCGGCUAACUCCGUGCCAGCAGCCGCGGUAAUACGGAGGGUGCGAGCGUUAAUCGGAAUUACU
rnacentral:rRNA from 1 species